GUAGGCGGCAAGCGUUGUCCGGAAUUAUUGGGCGUAAAGCGCGCGCAGGUGGUUCUUUAAGUCUGAUGUGAAAGCCCCCGGGCUCACCCGGGGAGGGUCAUUGGAAACUGGGGAACUUGAGUGCAGGAGAGGAAAGUGGAAUUCCACGUGUAGCGGUGAAAUGCGUAGAUAUGUGGAGGAACACCAGUGGCGAAGGCGACUUUCUGGCCUGUAACUGACACUGAGGCGCGAAAGCGUGGGGAGCAAACAGGAUUAGAUACCCUGGUAGUCCACGCCGUAAACGAUGAGUGCUAAGUGUUGGGGGGUUUCCGCCCCUCAGUGCUGCAGCUAACGCAUUAAGCACUCCGCCUGGGGAGUACGGUCGCAAAGACUG
rnacentral:rRNA from 1 species